GGAAGCCCUCGCAAAGGCAACUGCCUAGCUGGAUUUUGCUGAUUACUUUCAGCGCACUGACAGCUCCUGGUCCUGUGGCAGCUUGAGGUGUGGCCGCGUGGCUGAGUUCUGGACAAGGAAAUAGGCUGUCCCCUGCCUGCCCACACAUUUUCUGCUAGCCAGAUGGAGAGUGCCAGAGGUGUGUGCUGAGGCCCUGGAGCAGCAUCAGUGGAAAACUCACACAACACCAACUGGAAAGCCAGAAAUAAACCCGUGUGCUGCUGUGUGCCUAAGCUGGAGCGGUUCUCUGUACAUCGAUCAGCUUCUAUGGAUGUGUACCUAAUGGCUGCAAGUUAAGUUAUGUGACAUUCCUCAUAUUGAGCAUAGAUGGGGGGUCUGUGUUCCUGUGAACCGGUCCGGCCAAGAGAAUAUAAAAGGUAAUGUUUGCUUUGUUUAAUUUUUAAAGUCUCUCUCCUCUUUCGUGUGUGUGUGUGUGUGUGUGUGUGUGUGUGCAGUACAAGGAUGAAACAGAGGCCUUAUGAGUGCUGUGCUAGCCACUAUGGGUGUGUGGAGGUCAAAAGAUGUUCUAAUUAGCUUCCUAUGACUCUGAUGAAACACCGUCCAUAAGCAUCUUGGGAAAGAAAGGGUUUAUCUCAUCUUACAUAUGCAGACAACCGUCCAUCACGGAGGGGAGUCUGGGUAUUAACUCAAGACAGGAACCUGGAAGCAGGAACUGAAAUACAGACAGACCAUGGAGGAACACUGACGACUGGCAACUCCUAGUUGCUCUGCUGGCUAUUUUAUACGUCCCAAGACCACCCACCCAGGAGUGGCACUCACUGCAAACACAAAACAAGCCCUAGUGGUUGGGUGGUUCCUUUCUUGGGUGACCCCCGGAAGCCUGUGGCUACAGAGAGAGUCGGGGUGAGCGGGUGAGGGGGCUGGCUCAGUCCCUACAGGGAGGUCUUACUCUACCCAGCCUUAAUCAGUAGCUCAGCAACAAACAGCCGGCAGGUCAGAGAGCCCGCCACACACACUGUGGCUCAGUUAGCUCGGGCACCCUGCCUGCAGCUCCUUCAGACACAGUUUUUAGGAGCCCAGCCGUGCAGCAAGCAAGCUGCCCGCCCACCCAGCUCCCUGUCUUGCAUGGGCUGCAGCUCCAUGAUCUUCUCUAAAAUUACCUAAAUAGAUUAGGUCCUGGAUAUGGGCUGCUCACCGCCUCUCCUGGCCCCUCCCCUCUGCCAAUCUGGACCCCUCUCUCCCAGCUCCAGGUUUCUAAAAGCCCAGGCCCAAUUAUCAGGGAUACCACAAAACCCAGCACUUUCCCCUCCAUUUCCCACAAACCUGAAGGAAGUGAAUAAGACUCUUAUCGCGCUUUUAAGUAGUGUGUGUGUGUUGCUAUUGUUAUUGUAAGUGAAAUCAGAAGCAGAGAGGAAGGGAGGCCUCCGGGAAGGCUUUGACCCCCUCCUUCUCUACUUAGCCAAGGUCCCUGGCUUGUGCAGCAGGGUUUUAAUAUUUCCAGCGGAACCACAGACAAGGUGGUAAGGAAUGGGGAAGGGUGUGUUUGGAGGGAAAACAUUGUUUCUGGGAAGUAGAGAGAUAGAAAACACCUGUGGGUUUGUAUAAAAAAAAAAAAAAUGACCUCUGCUUGAGCACAGGAGGAACUGCCAAAGCACCAUUUCCCAUCACGGUCUCAACUGGAAGCUCUGUGUUGUCCCAGAACAAGGAAAUCUUCUGUGGCUCCUUCACACCAUAGAUUACCGUACAGAGAUGAAAACCCCAAGCUACCCUUGCUCCAAACGUGGAAGCUGUUGCAAAUACAUCAUUAGCUGAAAAAGGCCUGACUCAGAAGGUGGCCUAUUGAAUGCCACCGUUUAUGCAAGAUUUCAGGAGCCGGCAAGAAGCAGCUACAGGGCACAGACAUGAUUGUGCAGUAUAAAAAGAGAGUGAAUUCCAUAGAGGAGCAGACAGGGUCAUGAGAGGGCUUCUGAGUGCUAUCGGCAAGCCCCUCCUCACUGUCUCUCUCUCACUGUAUCUCCAUGUGGCCUGGAACAAAGUGGCUCAGGCUGGCCUCAGACUUUCAGCGAUCUUCCUGCUUCAGUCUCUGGUGUUGGGUUGCAGACACGAGACACCACAAUCAGCUUGCUUGCUUUCCUCUUCCUUCUUUCUUCUCCUCACUUCCUCUUCUCAUUUCCCCCUUCUCGUGUCCUCUUCUCACUUCUCCUUCUUGCUUCCCCUUCUCAGUUCCUCUUCUUGUCCUUUCCGUUCUUCCUCUUUCUCUUUUCCUGGGGAGUGUAUUGCGAAACUACUCUUUUUGUUGCUGUGACCAAAUACUUGCCAAGGCAACUUAAAGGAGGAAGGACUUGCUGUGGCUCCCUCUCUGAGGAAGUACAGUUCGCUGUAGAGGGAAGGUCUGGUGGCUCUGGGUGGUGGCAGAGGCAUGCAGCUGUGACUCCUUCAUUUCCUGCCUCUUUCUGUGUCUGCCCUUCCCCUUUUCAUACAGAAAAACUUUUUUUUUUUUUUUUUUUGAGAACACGAUGAGCCAUUUUUUGACCUGGGAGUAAAUUAUGUGCAAUUUGUUUUGUUUUGUCUUGUUUUUGUUUUUAAAAGAUUUAUGUAUUACUACAUCUAUGUACACUAUAUCUGUCUUCAGACACACCAGAAGAGGGUGUUAGAUCUCAUUACGGAUGGUUGUGAGCCACCAUGUGGUUGCUGGGAUUUGAACUCAGGACCUUCAAAAGAACAGUCAGUGCUCUUAUCAGCUGAGCCAUCUCACCAGCCCUGGUUUGGGUUUUUUGUUUGUUUGUUUUGUUUUUUUUUUGGUUUUGGUUUUGGUUUUUCGAGACAAGGUUUCUCUGUGUAGCCCUGGCUGUCCUGGAACUCACUCUGUAGACCCGGCUGGCCUUGAACUCAGAAAUCCACCUGCCUCUGCCUCCCAAGUGCUGGGAUUAAAGGCAUGUGCCACCAUGCCCAGCAAGGUUUGGUUUUUUUUGAGACAGGGUUUCUGUAUGUAUCCCUGGCUGUUCUGAAACUUGCACUGUAGAUCAUGCUGACCUUGAACUCAGAGAUCAGCCUGCCUCUGCCUUCUGCGUGCUGGGAUUAAAGGCAUGUGCCACUGAAGCCCACCUACAUGCAAUUUUUAAUUUAAAAUAUUUCAAUCCUUUUUUUCUUACAUUUUGUAAUAUAUAUAUAUAUAUAUAUAUAUAUACAUAUACAUAUACAUAUACAUAUAUAUGUGUGUGAUAUUGUGAUAUAUGAUAUAUUGUAGCUUAAACUUUGUGUAUUUUUAUUUUUAUAGUAAUAUAUGAUAUAUACUGAUAUGUAUGAUAUAUUAUAUAUACAUAUAUCUUUGUGGGUUUUUUCUCCUUUUUAUACAGCAAUCUCUUCACACUGCUGAGACUGAACUUGAAUUCCUGGGUGAGUCUUAGGAUUCUCAGUUGAUCCUCCUGCCUCAGAGUUCAGAGAAGCUAUAUGUCUCAUCAUAAGCUUAUAUUCUUGUGUCCAUAUAUGUCUAGAAAAGGUGAGUAUUUUCUGGGGCAGGCAAGUCACACAUUGGCACAUUCUCAGGCUACAACACCUCCAGGUCUCCCCUUGUUGUUCACUGUGGCUGAUGACAGUAAAUCUGUGUCAAGUCACAGAAGGAAGGUCAAAGAAAAACAGAAAGACCCGGACAACACAACAUCAUUACAGCACUGGGCCACCUCAGGGCACUUACACUCAGGGUCAGAGGUGUGGGUCAGCAGAACAGCACUUGCCUGGCAUGGGGGAGGUCCUGCAUUUGGCUUCAAGCUCUGAUAAGGGUGAAGCCGAUAAUAAAGGAUAAAUACACAGGGCAGCAAAGACCAAAGAGAACUGUUCCAGCUUAAAGAGGACACCCAGCUCUGGGGGUGCAAACCUGUGCUCUCAGCCAUUCGGGAGGUUGAAAUGGAUUGAUCAUUUGACCCCAGAAAUCUAAGCCCAGCAGAAAAUAAAUUAAAAAAAAAAAAAAAAGGCAUGUCGGAGA